rnacentral:rRNA from 1 species
GAUGAACGCUGGCGGCGUGCCUAAUACAUGCAAGUCGAACGAACAGACGAUGAUCUUGCUCCUCGCACGAUAGGCGCGCGCGUGUGAAUAACACGUGUAUAACCUACCUAUAAGACUGGUAUAACUUCGAAAAACCGGAUCUUAUACCAGAGAAGAUAUUGAACCACAGGGUGCGAUAGUGAGAUACGGUUUUUCUGGCACGUAUCGAUGGUUCCGCGCCGCAUUAGCUAGUUGUGAAGGUAACGGGCUACCAAGGCAACGAUGCGUAGACGACCUGAUAGGGUGAUAGGCCACCCUGGAACUGAGACAGCGUCAAGACUCCUAAGGGAGGCAGCAGUAGGGAACCUGCCGCAAUGGGCGAAAGCAUGACGGAGUAACGCGGCGUGAGUGAUGAAGGUCUUCGGAUCGGAAAAAUCUGUUAUUGGGGAAGAACAACUGUGUAAGUAACUAUGCACGUCUUGACGGUACCUAAUCAGAAAGCCACGGCUAACUACGUG